UCGAGGGAUCCCCUCACAGCUUCGGCCGCCCUUCGCCCUGUACCCCUCCAUAGAGCCUUCUGACCGCCCCAGGGGCUCCUGGACGAUACCCGGGGGUCCUCUUUACACCAAGGGGUACCAACAGACCUCGAGGGGCUCCUUCGAGCCCUUGGACCCUCAGUUUUCCUCACACCGCCCCCCCAAGAGAGCGGCCGCAACGGGCGGUUUCCUGAGGAGAAUCCGUUCCCGCCCAUCUGGUCACCCCUCGGGGCCCGCUUUAUUUCUCAUUGUUUGUGCCUAUUUAUGUGCCCUACUCUGGGAAAGUUCUCCUUUGUAGGCUUUGUGUGGCAUGUUGGGGGUGCUAAAAAGGCCAAUAAGUGGGUUCCUCAACAGGGAACUCCGUAUUUUGACAAGGCUGGUUUAAAAACCCACAGGUGAUACGUUGUUCUAUCGCCGAAAUGGUGUCUUGGGUUGGUGCGAGCACAGAGCUGCCAUCCCUUAGCCCUGAAUUCUCUAUCAGUUUCAUGGUGUGUUUUGUUGUUGUUUCCUUGUUUUCACUCUUUCUCCUCAACUUCUGAGAAGUUCAGUGCAUGGAACAAGCAGUUGGGAGGGAAAAGUCAUAGAAUCAUGUACUUGGUUGCGUUGGAAUGGACCAUUAAAGGCCAUCUAGUCCAGCUCCCCUCCAAUGCACCUACAGCUUCAUCAGAUGCUCCAUCCUACCUUUGAAUGCCUCCAAGAACGAGGCUUCUCCAAGCUCCCCAUAAGUACAUCAUAAGUUAAGCCUCCUCCAGCUCUAAGAGUCUGCUUGAAAUACAGCAAAGCUGCUGGAGACCAAGAGGAAGCUAAUGUGCUUUUAUUCUGCCUUUCUCCUGGAGAUCCAAAGGACCGAGCAAGAAAGAGCAAAAUCAGUGUCUGCUGUGAUCUUUGCCUGGCCCAAGGGCCAAGAAGGAUGAAAAUAAAGGAUAAUUCAGCUAUUUUGAGGCAAGGACCAAAAGUGCAUCUGCAUCUUCCCGUAUGAGCAGAUCUCCUGUUGGAAGGUACCAAUAUGGAAGAGGCACAGAGAGCCAAACCAGAGCAAUAAGACAGCAAAAAGCUUCACACAAAUUAGCACCAGUGCCUGCAAAAACACACGGUCGUGGAUGGAAAGCAUCACGAUGGAGGCAGUUUGCAGACAGGCUGGGAGGCUCAGGCAACAAGGUGUACGUAGGGUUGCAGGGAUGGAUCAAGGUGCAGCGCUGGACUUUGGAGCUCAUGGGGAUGCUGGGAAUCACCAUCCUGCCAUGCUGGGCACCGGGAAAGCAGCAAAAGAGUUAAGAUAACAAGAGAGCAGAAAGUUUUAUGGGAUCUCCUCUGGUUGGAGACAGAUCACAACACAAUGAUUUGACUCUGAUGCCCUUCUGAGAGCCUUCAAGGAAACCUGCAGUGAUUCACUCCCACAUUAAGAGCUGAGGAACAUGUAAGUGUGAUACAAGUUUCCCACCACCCUUGGAAUGA